ACGCUCGACACCUACGGGGAGGCAGCAGUUAGGAAUAUGGGCAAUGGAGGGAACUCUGACCCAGCAACGCCGCGUGAAGGAAGAAGGUUUUCGGACUGUAAACUUCUGAUCUAAGGGAAAAAAGAAAGUGAUGGUACCUUAGGAGAAAGCCACGGCUAACUACGUCCCAGCAGCCGCGGUAAUCUGAGGCGGGCGUGGCAAGGGC
rnacentral:rRNA from 1 species